rnacentral:rRNA from 1 species
GACGAACCGUGCGAACGUUGUUCGGAAUCACUGGGCUUAAAGGGCGCGUAGGCGGCUUGCCAAGUCAGUGGUGAAAUCCCACAGCUUAACUGUGGAAGUGCCUUUGAUACUGGCGAGCUCGAGGGAGGUAGGGGUAUGUGGAACUUCUGGUGGAGCAGUGAAAUGCGUUGAUAUCAGAAGGAACGCCGGUGGCGAAAAGCGACGUACUGGACCUCUUCUGACGCUGAGGCGCGAAAGCUAGGGGAGCAAACAGG